rnacentral:rRNA from 1 species
UACGUAGGGUCCGAGCGUUGUCCGGAAUUAUUGGGCGUAAAGAGCUCGUAGGCGGUUUGUCGCGUCUGCUGUGAAAUCCCGAGGCUCAACCUCGGGCCUGCAGUGGGUACGGGCAGACUGGAGUGCGGUAGGGGAGAGUGGAAUUCCUGGUGUAGCGGUGGAAUGCGCAGAUAUCAGGAGGAACACCGAUGGCGAAGGCAGUUCUCUGGGCCGUAACUGACGCUGAGGAGCGAAAGCGUGGGGAGCGAACAGG